CUGAAGGAAGGAAAAAAAUAAGGAAGAGAGGAGCAAGGAAUAGAGUGAAUGGCACAAAGUUUGCCGUUUUUGCAACACUCCAUCGUGCAGUUGCCUUGCAGCCACCAGUGAGUCAGUGACACAAAUUCCUCCUGGACAGGAAGCAAUAGAAGGAAACAUUCAGUUCCAGGCCUGCUCAAACAAUCGAUCAGCUCAGUGUUAUAAAAUACAACAGCACAGAUCUGAAAGCAUUAGUUAAAGACAUAAAGAAUUGCAUCCAAAAUUGUAAGCAUCAAUUUUUGUGAAUUAUUUUUUAUUUAAGUAUGUUCAGGAAAUUUACAUAUAGAUUAAACCCUAAAUAUACCAAAUGUCAGUCUGUUUACAUCCUGAUGCCUUCGCAUCACUGCUGUAUGUAGAUUGGGUUCAAAGCUGGAGCAUUCUCAUCAUUACCUCUAACUAAACCAUUACAGUGGUUUAGUGAGGGUUAAAAGAGAAGCUUAUGGGCCGAAGGAAGGCAGGUGAGGUGUUUGCUUUGUUUGGACUUUGGUAUGAACUUAUCAGAAUUUUAAUACAUGUGGCCUGAAAAGCUAAUGAGCCUCCAUCUAGAGGGACACAACUGAUUACAGGCUCAAUUAUUUUUCGUACCUGAACAGCUCGAUUCUUUGCUCAUACUCGCUUCUACAGAAACAACAGCAGCAGCGACGACUUCUCCUUGUCAGAAGAAGGUAAUCUUUGCUGAAGGCUGUAAUUCCACAGUCAUAUACUCCGCACAGACAAACACCUCAUUUCUUUUUGGCUUUGUCUUUUUCCCCUUUUAAGUUUUAUUCUUUGGACGUUUUAAAUGCCUCCUCCCUCAAGGUGAUCUUGUAGUAGUUAGCAGUUCAUCAGGAUGGAUAUAUAGAUAAUAUCGAUAUUUUUGUCUUCACGUAUGGGGCAGUAUAGUCUGAUAGCUGAGGCACCUGAGGGGUCAGAACAGUGCAAUAAAGUAGAGUGAUCACUUCUCACUAAAAUAGGAUAGCGCUGAGGGAGAAAAUAAAAGUUUAUGGACCAAAAGAAGGAAGAAGGUGUAUUUGAAUUGUUUGGAUAUUGUUAUAACACAGUAGGAAUAUAUCCACAAAACCUUACCAAUAAACCUUGGUGUCAAGGCAAAGGAUUUGAAUUCUGCCUUGUAGGCUACACUAUUUCCUGCUGCAAUCCCCCUUUUAUUUUUCUGUCUUCAUCUGGGAAAAAAAAAGAAAAUGGGUUAUAAUCUCUCUAAAUAGAGAUUGUGCACAGCACAUAGGUGUGCAUGAAUUCAGCGGGGAUUGGGUCUCUAGGUCACUGAGGGCAGGUUAAGCAGAGGGAACGGUUGGCACCCUGGCUAUCCAGAGUGAUUUGCUGCAGAGUUUGGAAGCCCCGGGGAGUAGAGGAAGUUCCUAAAACUGGAAUAACUCAUUCGUGAAUUUCUGCUAAUGUAUUUAUUCCUCCAUCAGUUUGAGGGCUCCGUUUUUAUGGACACUUUUGUUUUACAGAACAACCACUGUUAUAUUUUUCUUCCUGUCCCUUUUGCUUUAUUCCCAUGAGCUGGACUCUCCCUCUUGGGGUGACCAUUGUCCUCUCGAGUUCAAUGGGGGCACAAUGAAAUCAGUACUGUAACGGAUUGGGCAGGGUUUAUGUCAACCUGCCCUGCU